rnacentral:rRNA from 1 species
GUGAGGAAUAUUGGUCAAUGGGCGAAAGCCUGAACCAGCCAUGUCGCGUGAAGGAUGAAGGUCCUAUGGAUUGUAAACUUCUUUUGCAGGAGGGUAAAGUGAGCUACGUGUAGUUCAUUGCAAGUACCCUGCGAAUAAGCAUCGGCUAACUCCGUGCCAGCAGCCGCGGUAAUACGGAGGAUGCGAGCGUUAUCCGGAUUUAUUGGGUUUAAAGGGUGCGUAGGCGGACUAAUUAGUCAGCGGUGAAAUUUUGCGGCUCAACCGUAGAACUGCCGUUGAAACUGUUAGGCUUGAGUGCGGUAGAGGUAGGCGGAAUGUGUGGUGUAGCGGUGAAAUGCUUAGAUAUCACACAGAACACCGAUUGCGUAGGCAGCUUACUGGAGCGCAACUGACGCUGAGGCACGAAAGCGUGGGGAUCGAACAGGAUUAGAAACCCGUGUAGUCC